AAUCUGGAUUAAAAUAAUGUGAGGUUUUUUUUGGAAAUUCAGUCGAAACAGUAUGGAAGAGUGUGUUAUUCACAUAUUACAUCAGUAGGUGGCGCCACACACAAGCUAAAUAGUAUAGUACAGUACCUGUAUACUGUAUUUGAAAAUACUUUUCAAGGUAUUUGUUUUUUUCACUUAACAUAUCCUUGAGUAUAAAUUUAUUAAAAGAGUAUUUCGUAAGUAAAUUGAAAGUAUUGCUAUUUUUAGUUCCGAAUAAGUAAAGGAUCCAACAACGAAACCAAAAUGGGUUAAUAUUUUAGAGAAUAGAAUAAAGAAAUAUUUCCUCCUCAUAAUACUGCCUUUAUUGAUGAUUGCAUUUCGUCAUCAGAGCUGUGAAUAAUUUCACAGGAUAUUUUAGUGGAGUGAUUUUUUUCCACUUCUGUAACUUUGUAAUCACACAACUCAAAUCCUACUGAAUGAAUGACAUAACAUUAAUAAUAUGUGGGUGAGUCGAUGAAUGUUUGUGUGGCGUGUUGUCUUUUGUGCAAUUAUGUUCUCUCUCUCUUUUUUUAUGGCAGAAGAGUGGGUGGGUGGUGUCCAUUUGUCACUGGAAGCAGUGGCGUCACGGUGUCUCCUCUUAAAGGUAAGUCUGGAAAGACAAAGAGAUUUACGACUAACGUGAGUUUUGGCAGAAGCUUCUUCUGUUGAUGUGUGUGUGCGUGCGUGUUACUCAUCACUCACUCAUUGAAUUGGACUUGCUUGUUUGAAAGUUGGCAAGGGCACAAUUGUAAUGAGUGGAUCGACGAGAUUGCAUGCUUAAAAAAAAAGCUGUGUGUCAUCUUGCAGCCAGGACGGUUAUGCAGCAAGAUGAAGAAGACAUUUUCUACUGUGUCCACUAGUAUCAUCAUCAUGGAGUUUUAUUAGAGUUUUGCAGUGGUUUAAGUGUGGUCAGUUCCUGUGAGGGGCAAUUGGCGACUUGAUUCAGCAUUCCCGCACGACUGAUUUCAGCAUUCACACACCACUGAAAAGCAUAUUUUAGGAUGUUACAUGAGAGCAUUUCAGUAUAGUAGAGUGUUUGUGUAUAAUGUGAGAGCUCUGCAAUGCUGUGUGUAAAAGCUUUCAGUCGUGGGAUGUAUUGUGUUUUAGUAAUGUGUGAGCAGGACAACAAUUUUCUAGCGGGUGGUCCAAUUUAAGCAUGAGAGCAUUUCACAAUGACGUAUGAGAGGAUUUCAGCCACAUGUGUUCAUGUUUAAUUUGCGUCUGAAAGUGUUUUAGUUGAAUGUGAGAAUAGUUCAAUGGUGUAUAUGCGCAUGAUAACAAAACGCUCCCACAGUGGUAUAUAUAUAUUUUUUCCACCGAGCUCAACGUGAGUCAUUUGCUUCAGUGAAGAUUCACGGCCUGAGAAUUUCCAGAAUGCGUCGACUGGCGUCUGUGACAAGAACAGGCAGCUGUAUUGAAAGACUGCGGAGGACAAAAAGACAAGAGCCAUGUGCCGCUUUCAGACAAUGAGCAGCCAUGUGGCGUCUGGGGCUGAUUCUUUUUACAAGUGUGUGUAUACUCCUGCCUACAAUCUGGCUUUGAAGACAAUGUCCAUGAGUCGGGGAAGACCUUUCCAGUGCCGCAAAGUGAAGGGUGCAGCACGCCAUAAAGAUCCAAAGCAACACGAAAGAUGCUAAAGUGGACCAUGGAAAUAAAGCAGGGGCAGCUGAGCAAAAUGGCCGCCGUCCGAUUGCAAGAGGAUCCCUUUGACGGCAACAAAAGAGGAGGUAAGCAAAACUCCUAGGAGAAAUAAAAUACCCCAGCCAUAAGUCUUCCCCCCCUGAGAUGUGCCAGAUCUUUAUUUCACUCUUUUCUUCCCUGCGUUUUCUGUCUCGAUGGCCACAAAGUGCGCGGAGAGUGCGCGACCAUCUUUUUUUGUUGACGUCUGAUGGCGCGUGAUAAUGUGGUCAUUAUCAUGGCUUAAAAGAACAGGUUGUGCCUCAGACAGGGUUUCAUUAUGGGGCUUUUCACGCUGGCGCGCACACACACUUUCAGUGUGGGAAAAGAAUGCGCGUAAAGACAGGACAGCUGUUUGGGUGGCUCAUGGGGAUGACGAUCAGGUUAGAGUGAAGAUGGCCGACUGUAAAGUCCACCUGUGAAGGAAUCGGUGCCCCAGGGGGCAAAGGCAAGGCACACUAAUUUGGUCAUGUCCACUGGCAGUGUAUUAAAAAAAAUGACGCACAAACACUAACAAUUAUACAGAUUCAAAUAAUUGAUUUGAUCAUUCUUAAAAAAAAUAUACAUUGACGGUUUCAAAGUUUCCACAAAGCGAUUGUCCGACCUCAUGACAGCAAAGAUACAAAACUGGUCAAAUGCCACAAUGCCCGAGGUCAUUUCAAGCCAAUUUACCAUUCCUGCUCAAUCACUCAAUUUGCUCCACUGACUUUCAUUAGGCUGUCCCAAAAAUAGAUGUAAGUAUUCAAACAUUAAAUAAAAAAAAGUGAUGUGUCAAUUCAUGGGCUUCAAGUUGUGAUUGACAGUUUCACAUGAUUGAUAAGAAUAGGAAAAGCACAGGAAGGAAGUGUUUUGGGGGCGGAAUCCCGCAUUUGUUUUGUUGAAUGAUGUGAAAUUGCAGAGGCAGUGAAGUUGGUGUCCUUACUUAACACCCCCGCCCCUGGGGCGUAUUUAACCGCCCCAGGGACAGGAUGGAAUGGACCGGUCCGACCUCUUCCUCUGCCAGGUCUUGACAUCUUUACAAGCAUUCAUCUUUAACCACACUUGUAUGUUUUGACACGUUCCGUGAGGCCACAUCACACAGGCAUACGCACAGCAGGGCUGUCAUUAAUAUGGGAUUUAAAUACAUUUUAUUUCAAGUAACUUGCAGAGCAAGCUUGUUUGGUUUUUUUUUCCUUUUUUAAAAAAAAUUCUUAACCAACUGUAAUCUUCCUCUGAUCGUACGUGAAUACAAAGCAGUGAUGAGAUGAAAUCAUCAAUUUUCUCAUAUCUCCACCUGGAUAAUUUAGAGUCUUGGAUUAA